AGUAGAAACUAUUAAGUUAUUAGAUAUUAUGUUACCAAAUCAUCUCAACAUAUAUAUAUAUAUAUAUAAACUGUAAAAUUCCAUGUAAUUUGUGCACCUGUGUAACGCAGGUAAUUUUCAGGAUAAAAAUUGUUAGAAAAAGCUUCUACUCGUGUAAAAUUCACACCCAGAAGUUUUCAGAAUUACCAAUAUGGCCAGGGUGAAAAGAUUUGCAGUUUAGUUGUAUUUAAUAUAAUUUCACUUACUUAUGAUUAGAUUUUAUUAAAUUUUCAUUAAAUAAAAAUAAUUUCUGUUUAACAGGUAUCACAUUUAAAACUAUUAAAUUACAAAGUGUUUGUGUUGUUUGUAAUAAACUUAAUUUUACAUUUCUUGCCCACAUGAGAUUUUGUUCAAUCUUUAUGUCUUCUCAAAUCAUGAUCACAGGAACAGUUGUUGAUAAUUCUUAUCAACAAAAACAAAGCUGAUAAAUAUGCACAAGUGUUGCAAAAUAAGUUUAAUUACCAAUAAACAUCAGCUUGGAUGACACUUUACUCAACCAACAGAGGAAAGUGACUGAUCAAACUGAUUAUGUAAACAGAAUUCUGAUUGGUCAAAAGUGUCUUCUUGUCAAGCUCUGAUUUUCUGCCUAGGCUUGUUGGAACCUUUGAUACGGAGUAUCAUAAUUUUAAUCCUUUCACACUUAUAAAAUGUCAAGCAAACCUAAAAAAUUGUCAUUACCGUUUUAGCUUGGAGACCAAACUGAUAGUUUGGUAACCUGCUAAAAUAAACAUUAAAAAUUGGAAGGAGAAAAUAAACAGUUUUGCAAGUUUAACUCAAUGUUUAUUGAAGAAGAGAGAUGGAAAUUUAAGAAGCAACUUGUUAGAAUAUACACAUCUGUGAGGAGACAUAAACAAGAAUAGCAAAAAUCUACCAUACCAAAAGAACUGGUAAUACAAACAUUACAAGUGUUCUAUGAAGAGAACAUAAGAUUGCUGCAUAAUUCAACAUGAAUGCGAAAUGACAUUAAACACCAUAUAAGUCAUUAGAUUGUGGCCGUGCUGGAGCACCACAUUGAAGAAUUUUUUAGUUGAAGGAAUUGAACACAGCUUCAGGUGACUGGCUGCUGUUGGUUGAAGAGCCUAACCUACUGAGCUAUAGAAAAUUCCACAUGGAAGUCUCCCAACAUCUUUAAAUUACUUAUGUUCAGGUCCAAAUUUACAGUACAGACCAAUCAACAAAGAACCAAAGAAAAGUAAUAAAUAAAAAAUAUAUGUAAA